rnacentral:rRNA from 1 species
GAUGAACGCUGGCGGCGUGCCUAACACAUGCAAGUCGAACGGAGUUAAUUGGAUGAAGCCUAGCGAUUCUAAUUAACUUAGUGGCGGACGGGUGAGUAACGCGUGAGAAACCUGCCUCUCAGUGGGGGACAACAGUUGGAAACGACUGCUAAUACCGCAUAACACUUUAGUACCGCAUGGUACAGAAGUCAAAGCUUUAUGUGCUGAGAGAUGGUCUCGCGUCUGAUUAGCUAGAUGGCGGGGUAACGGCCCACCAUGGCGACGAUCAGUAGCCGGUCUGAGAGGAUGAACGGCCACAUUGGGACUGAGAUACGGCCCAGACUCCUACGGGAGGCAGCAGUGGGGAAUAUUGGGCAAUGGGGGAAACCCUGACCCAGCAACGCCGCGUGAAGGAAGAAGGCCUCGGUUGUAACUUACUUUUAGUCAGGACGAAGAACGUGACGGUACCUGCAGAAAAG